AGAAAAUUAGGUGACAGUUCAAAAACAACAACAGAAAGAACGGAAAGAACGGAAAGAACCUCCACAAAAACAGAAACAUAGUGCAGAAAAUUAGGUCACAGUUCAAAAACAACAAAAAGAACCGAAAGAACGGACAGAACGGAAAGAACGGAAAGAACCUCCACAGAGACAGAAACAUAGAACAGAAAGUUAGGUGACAGUUCAAAAACAACAACGGAAAGAACGCAAAGAACGCAAAGAACGCAAAGAACGCAAAGAACGCAAAGAACGCAAAGAACGCAAAGAACGCAAAGAACGCAAAGAACGCAAAGAACGCAAAG
rnacentral:lncRNA from 1 species